GAUGAACGCUAGCGGCAUGCCUAAUACAUGCAAGUCGAACGAGAUACAACUUUGUAUCUAGUGGCGAACGGGUGAGUAACACGUAUUUGAUCUACCCCCAAGUGGGGAAUAACAAUUGGAAACGAUUGAUAAUACCGCAUAUGACAUAAAUUCGUUUUUAUGUUGAAAGAAGCGUUUGCUUCGCUAAAGGAUGGGGAUGCGCAGCAUUAGAUAGUUGGUGGGGUAAUUGCCCACCAAGUCAACGAUGCUUAGCCGACCUGAGAGGGUGAUCGGCCACACUGGAACUGAGACACGGUCCAGACUCCUACGGGAGGCAGCAGUAGGGAAUUUUUCGACAAUGGACGAAAGUCUGAUCGAGCAACGCCGCGUGAGGGAAGAAGGUCUUCGGAUUGUAAACCUCUGUUAUAAGGGAAGAACAGUCAGAGCAGGAAAUGGCUUUGAUUUGACGGUACCUUAUCAGAAAGUGACGGCUAACUUCGUGCCAGCAGCCGCGGUAAU
rnacentral:rRNA from 1 species